UGCAAGUCGAACGGUAAGGCACCUUCGGGUGUACACGAGUGGCGCACGGGUGAGUAACGCGUGGGUAAUCUGCCUUCGGGUUUGGGACAACUCCGGGAAACUGGAGCUAAUACCGAAUAAGACCACGAGGUCCUCGGGCUUCGCGGAAAAAGGUGGCCUCUUCUUGAAAGCUAUCGCCUGCUGAUGAGCCCGCGUCCCAUUAGUUUGUUGGUGAGGUAACGGCUCACCAAGGCAUCGAUGGGUAGCUGGUCUGAGAGGAUGAUCAGCCACACUGGAACUGAGACACGGUCCAGACUCCUACGGGAGGCAGCAGUCGGGAAUUUUGGGCAAUGGGGGAAACCCUGACCCAGCAACGCCGCGUGAGGGAUGAAGGCCCUCGGGUCGUAAACCUCUGUCGGGAGGGAAGAAAGCUUUGCGGGCGAAUACCCCGGGGAGCUGACGGUACCUCCAAAGGAAGGUCCGGCUAACUCCGUGCCAGCAGCCGCGGUAAUACGGAGGGACCAAGCGUUGUUCGGAAUCAUUGGGCGUAAAGCGCGUGUAGGCGGCUUGGUAAGUCGGAUGUGAAAGCCCGGGGCUCAACCCCGGAAUUGCAUUCGAAACUGCCAGGCUAGAGUCCCGGA
rnacentral:rRNA from 1 species